rnacentral:rRNA from 1 species
UGGCGGACGGGUGAGUAACGCGUGGGUAACCUGCCUUACACAGGGGGAUAACACCUGGAAACAGGUGCUAAUACCGCAUAAGCGCACAGGGCCGCAUGGCCCGGUGUGAAAAACUCCGGUGGUGUAAGAUGGACCCGCGUCUGAUUAGCUUGUUGGCGGGGUAGGGGCCCACCAAGGCGACGAUCAGUAGCCGGCCUGAGAGGGUGGACAGCCACAUUGGGACUGAGACACGGCCCAAACUCCUACGGGAGGCAGCAG